rnacentral:rRNA from 1 species
AUUGGCUAAUACCGCAUACGAUCUACGGAUGAAAGCGGGGGACCGCAAGGCCUCGCACUAUUGGAGUGGCCGAUGUCAGAUUAGGUUGUUGGUGGGGUAAAAGCCUACCAAGCCGACGAUCUGUAGCUGGUCUGAGAGGACGACCAGCCACACUGGGACUGAGACACGGCCCAGACUCCUACGGGAGGCAGCAGUGGGGAAUUUUGGACAAUGGGCGCAAGCCUGAUCCAGCCAUGCCGCGUGCGGGAAGAAGGCCUUCGGGUUGUAAACCGCUUUUGUCAGGGAAGAAACGCUCCGGGCUAAUACCUUGGGGUAAUGACGGUACCUGAAGAAUAAGCACCGGCUAACUACGUG